UUUUCGUAUCGUUAGUUGUCGUGAGUACAGCAGAAGGAGACUGUGGAUUUGCGCUGCUGCCGCUGUUAAUCUUCCGACCAUGAAACUAGUUUACUUCCUGGUGUUAUACUGUUCAUGCAUUUCGGUAAAUGCACACCCCCCAUGGGUCUGUAAUGAGACAGAACCUACUACUCCUAUUCUAGGAGGUCUCACAAAAGCUGAUGUCAAUGAUCCAUACAUCAAGAAUGUAUCAGCUUUUGCACUGCCUACAAUUAAUAGGAAAUUCGAUGCAACUUUCAAGAUAGCUCGAAUUAUCAGUGCAGAAACUCAGGUUGUUGAAGGUACUCUUUAUUACCUCCGGCUAGAAGUUUGUACCACCAACUCCAACAGGGGAGAAGAUGAUCCCAGUUCUGAGUGCAUUCAAACAGGAGAAGCGAACAAGCAACUGUGUGACGUACAGGUGUGGGAUAGACCAUGGCUGCCUGAACGUGAAGUUACAGAACUAAAUUGCACUGCAAUAAAUGCAAGGCGGAAAAGAGAGCUUGCUGUUAAUGCAGGUCACACAGAAGGUAAUACCACUUAUCCUACUAUUAUUCCUGGAGGUCGUACAAAAGCUAAUGUCAGUGAUCCAAUCAUCAAGAACAUAUCAGCUUUUGCACUGCCUACAAUUGAUAACAAAUUAGAUGGAACUUUCAAGAUAGCACGAAUAAUCAGUGCAGAAACUCAGGUUGUCAACGGUGUAAUUUAUUACAUCCGGCUAGAAGUUUGUAGCACCAACUCCAACGGUGGAGAAGAUGAUGCCAGUUCUACUUGCAUUAUAACAGGAGAAUCGAACCAGUAUAUCUGUGAUAUACAGGUGUGGGACAGACCAUGGCUGCCUCAACGUGAAGUUACACAAGCAAAUUGCACUGCAAUAGAUUCAAGGCGGAAAAAGAGAGUUAGUCGAAAUGAAGAUCCAAAAUCUCCAAUAAUUCACACUCUCAUCAUAUGAAAAACAUAUGGCAUUAUAAAAAUGGCUACAAAUAAUGGAGGGAAAGCAAUAAUGGGCCACAAACCAUUGUUGCCAUACACUAAAAAGUCCAGACUUUUCAAAAAAUAUAUAGAAGGUACGAAACUUUAAACAUUUAAAUAUUGUAAGUGUGACCUACAUUACAUGGAAUAUCCCUUCUGUCUCUGGGUCUUUGGUUGACAUAUGUUUGAUGAUUUUUCUGAUGUUUUGCCAGCACAAGUGGCUGGCACUGCCAAAGUUUCACCAUGCUUAGCUGAUGGUGGACUGGAGUCGAGCUCACAGCUGCAGCUUAUAUACAGGGGGUCUCACCUAACUCUGCCACCUCAAAUAUCUCUGGAGCAACAAUAGUUAUUCAAAAAUGGUUUUCAGCAGCAAGGGCUUAGGAAACCAAAUACUGUGCGGAAUUUUAAAACGUAAACAAAUACUAUUUUCAACACAAAUUGUGGAUUUUUAAAUGGACACAUCCUGUUAUUUCAUAUGCAAUCAAUCGCAUGAAAAAUCACAAAAAUAAUGGCAUUGGUUGCACCAUAAUACGUCAAUUACAUCCCGAGAAAAGCAAAGAUGACGCUUGAAAUAAAUGAAGUGCACAGAUAGCGCACAUCCUGAGACUCAAGCAUGCACCUCAUGCUGCCUGUGCCAGGGGCUCACACAAUGGGAAGGUGUGAACAAUCCACAAAACCAAGCAAGUGACAUGCCCAAUGCAAAGUUACGUUUUUCAUAUUGUAAAUGUAUUUAUAUUCUAGCAAAAUGACAACUAGAGCUACACUUUAAUUCACUUUGCUAAACACAUUUACUAGUGCCCUGUCACACACAGGAACUGUAUUGUUGUGUAUUACAUCCUGUCACCCACAGGAACUGUAUUGUUGUGUAUUACAUCCAGCUUAGAAGAUAAACCCACAUCUUGACCAAGGAAACUGUGUCACGUCAACAUAUAUUAGUAGUGCCCUCUGUUUGUAUCAAUAUACGUUUGCAGGCGGGUAAUGAGAGAGUGUUGCACGGAUUGUAGAGUUUCUACAGAUAUUGCCAGUACAUGCCUCAGUAAUACAAUGUUGCAUAUCCUCUACUGUCUUUGGGGGUUCUCGAUACACUCUGUCUCUUACUGCACCCCAGAGAAAGAAGUCUAAUGAUGUCAAGUCGGGGGACCGCCUACACAGUACCUACUUGGAUGAUCCACCUAAUUGGAUAUGUCGCCUCUAGAGCGUCUCUGGCAACUUUUGCAUUGUGUGCAGAACAUCCAUCUUGUUGGAACCACAAUGAUAGACAAGUUUCCAAUCCUAGAUCGUCAAUGAGGAGUGCUAGUGUGUGUUGAAGAAAUGAUGCAUAUAACUGUCUAUUCAAUGUUCCACGGUAAAACUAGGGACCUACAAUACAGUUAGCAAUGAUCCACACCAAAAAUUGACACUCCACUGUCAUUGAUGAGCAACUUGCUGAAUCCAGUGGGGAUUUUGCAUGGACCAGAAGUGCAUGUUCCGCAGAUUCACAUUAACAUGAUUUGUAAAUGAAGCCUCAUCCAUAAACAAUGUAUUGCUUAGGAAUACUGGAGUGCCUUGAAAAUGCUGAAGUGAAAAAUGACAGAAUGCAAAGUGGGAUUCAAAGUCAUUCCUGUACAGUCCUUGGUGCAGUGAGAUAUGGAAUGGACGAAACUGAUGCUGAUGCAAGGUUCUGCACACACUACUGUGGCUUAUUCCUACACCUCGAGCAAUUUCUCAUACACCCACCUGAGGAUUGUGCACUACACCAGCCAGAACAGCAAAUCCAGUCACUGGCACUGUAUGUCAACGUUUUGUGGGAACCCAGCUUCCUGUAUACCUGAGUGUCUUGCAGAUGUUGCCAAUGGUUCAACACAAUGGACACUGAUGGUCUGAGUAGCAUUCAGCAUACAGUGUCACAGCUGCAGUUGCAUUUCUGUGACAUUAGUCAUAAAUUAAAAUAAUAUCUAGUUUUUCUUCAUUACUGAAUGCCUCCAUAUCGACUAGAUGAUGGCAAAUGUAACAAGCGACAAGAAAACGCAUAAUACUACACCAUACAUUAACACUCCACUGACAUAUUACAUCAAUCACAUCACGAAUAGUGGCAGCUUGAGUCUCAGGACGUGCGCUAGCUGUGCGUUUCAUUUAUUUCAAGCGUUAACUUCGCUUCAGAAUUUUUCAGGGUGUAACUGAUGUAUUGCGAUACAACCAACACCAUUAUGUUUGUAAUUUUUCAUGCUAUUGAUAGCAUACAAAAUAAUAGGGGGUGUCCAUGUAAAAAUACACAAGUUUGUGUUAAAAAUAGUAUUUCUUUACGUUUUAAAAUUUCACGUAGUAUUUGGUUUCCUAAGCCCCUGCCAUACAUUCAUGCUGGUGGAAACCAUUUUUGAAUAUCUGUUGUUGUUCCAGAGAUAUUUGAGGUGGCAGAGUUAGGUGAGACACUCAGUAUAUGGCACACCAGUGUCCAGGAGCUUUUCUGUGGUGAUUACUGCAGAGGUUCUCCCCUUGCUACCUGCAACGAUCAUUUGCUGCAACAUGGGAAUUCAGCAUCUGUUCAACUUGAGGCUUUCUUCUUGCUUGUUGAAAUUAUUGUCAUGUUUGUGCAUUUCUAUAUCUUCCCUGAAUAAGCAGGUGUGACAACUCUUUUCUACACCAAGAACUUCUAUGUUCACAAAUUUUACUAUGUGGUUGGUCUUCCACAGAGUGUGCUCUGCCACGACUGAUUUUUCAUCCUGGCCCAACCAGCAAUGCCACUCAUGUUCAGUGAUUCUAGAGUUGACUUAUCACCCAGUCAUUCCAACAUAGACUUUUUCACCUUUACAUGGUAUGGAGUAUAUUCCUGACAUUGCAAGUGGGUUUCUUUUCUCCUUUGCUGAUCUAAGACACUCUUCGAUCUUCUUGGAUAAGGAAAAAUGUGACCAUCAUAAUGAAAACUGAAGAUUACAAGCAGAAGAACCAGUACCUAUUAGAUCCAAUGUGCACCAAAAACUAAGUGCAGAUCUGAUGUAGCGGAUCUGCACUUAGUACUAGAUAAGAAUCAGUUGAUCAAGGCCUCUCAGCAGACAUAAAGAGGACCCUCCAGAACACAGAAGCCCUACCACCUCAGCUGUAUGGAUUACCAAAGAACCAUAAGAAUAAUGUUCCAUUAAGACCAACACCUCAGCUGUAUGGAUUAUGAAAGAUCUGUAAGAAUAAUGUUCCAUUAAGACUGACUGUUAGUGUUUCUGGUUCACCAAUGUAUAAACUUGCAAAACACUUGGCCUCUUUACUCCAGCUGCAUGUUUGAGAGACUGAUACAUACAUAAUGGACUUGGGACAUUUCAUUGAGAAGCUGAAGAAACUAGAACUUGCAAGAAAUGACAUCCUGGUCAGCUCUGAUUUGUUUGCUUACCGAAGUGGCACUCCGUGGUUCUGUGGAGUAAUUGGUUCCAUUUUCCGGCAAGACAACACCAAGCUCUUUCAAACAUGUAUCACCAUGCCAUUACUACCAGCUGUGGCAGCAGUUGAUGACUGAACCAGCACACAUCUGGCAACUCAUGGAAUUUGAGUCACUUCCUCCAAUGCUACAAUCACUAACAGUCUCAGUGCCUCAGCAGCAACUACAGCCUCAACUGAACUAGACAGAAAAUGAAUAAGAUGCCAAAGGGAUGGAAACUUUGGAAAUUGAGAUGCUGUUGGAGUCACUGCCAGGGAACAAUGCUCCCCAUUGCCCCAGUAGCUAAAACAUAGGUCUGGUCACUUCCAACCCUAUUAAAGUGGAGAAUAAUUUAGUAUCUUCAUUGCAUUUGGACACUGAUAUACAGAUGGAUGUACCAGCAUUGGCUCUUCAGAGAUUUAUGAUGUCAUGGCCACACACAGGUCUGUUAACAAGACUUUUGGGUGGCAUAGACCACUAGAAAAGUGCACGCUCAUUCAUCAGCCAGUUGUGUUGAUGUAUCCAAAGCUUUUUGGUUGCUGACAUUACUAUUUGCACACAGUAAUAUGCUUAUUCUCAGUUAUUUCACUUGGUUUGCUAUUCAGAUUUUGUUUGUAUAUUGUUAAUGAUUCUGAGCUUCAUGCUUGAAUUCCUCUUGUGUGUUCUCUUUUAUUUGUGUAAGAUUGGAUGCCAUCCACUCAGCUGUUUCAGCCACUUGCAGUUUUCCAGAGAAACUGUGCACUCCCCGCCUGUGGGUACGACAUUGGAAAACAUAAUUCACCUAUAUCAUUGUACCCCUUUUCUAUUCUUUUCACUGUUGGUUCUUGGAGAGAGAAAUCAUCAGUACCCUUCUGUGUGGUCCAGAAUUUCUCUAAUAAUGCAAUUAUGAGACGGUUUUUUAAGAAAUGUCUUAGGUGCAUGAAUUACUCUUCCUUAUAAUCCUUCCAAUAAAUAAGAUUGGCAUUUGCCUUCCCAGUAGCUAUAUCUGUGUGUUCAUUCCACAUGAAAUCUUUGCAUACAAACUUGUAGAUACUUGUGUAUUAUGACUGAUCACCUAUUGUGCAAUGAAAUGUUAUUAAUACAGAUACUUAAAUGUUAUUAAUACAGAUACUUCCAUCUAUUUAUGUGCAUUACAUUACUUUUUGGCACUGAGGGUAGGCUAACAGUCCUCACAUCAUGCAGUGAUCAUCUGAAUGUGUCACUGCAUUUUGUAGUAAGUUGCUAAUGAUGCCACAAGGCUAACAAAUACAGAAAUACAUCAGUUAUCUGCAAGAUCAUUUACAUAUGUUGUGAACAGUAGCGCCAGAGGUGGCCUCAUUAGACUAUCUCGAUCAUAACAGAUGUUACUUUUGCUUCUGACUUCUGUCUUCAGAAGAACAACAUACUGAUGUAUGUUUGUGCUGAUCUAAUCAUGUGUCUGUUCAGAUAUUUUGCACACACAUAUAUUCCCUGCAGACCUAUAAGGACCAUACAUUUACUGUGCAUUUGCUCUAACAUGAGAACUAACCCUUCCAAAAGCAUAUGAAAAUCCAGUUCGUCACAUAAUUCAAACCACUAUGCAGACAUGCUAUUUAACUUUUUCCAGGAAGUGAAUCCUUAAUGUCAAGCACAGACUGACUCAAGACCUUUUGAUUAUCCUACUGCCUGCCAAACUGAAUUACCAAAUUACGCCUUUUUCCUAAGAAUUGAUAAUGCAUUAAUUUAUCAUAUAAGUUAAUGAUCCACUAUACUGCACACAAUAGUAUUGCCACACAAACCCAAAAUUGUUGUAAGUUAAGGUCAAGAAUAUAGAAGUUCAAAUAGCUGUCUCCUCUUUAUGUCCAAAUAAAAUGAAAAAUGUGUUUGUGAUUAGUGAGCAGUUUUAUUACACAUUCUUCUUUACUCUUUUUCUAGCAUUUAGAAGGUCUCAUGCAGUUCCAACUUUAUUAUUUUAGUCAUAGCUGUUAUUUUUCAGCAGUUAUAGUAUAAAUUUAUGUAUAGAAUUCAGUUAUCAGUUGCAAAUAAUUUUCAACAAAUGACUGAAUUCUACUCUGAAAUACCAUCUUUGUAAAAAUGUGAAAAACUUUAUUUUUGUUUUCCAGGAAUUCUGCUGAAGUCACUUCAAUUUCCUUCAUAGCUACUGAUCUUAAAGAACAUUCAUUUU